GUUUUUACAUAAUCUUUGAAAGCUUGAGAACGGCUGUCAAAAAUAACCGAAGCUCUCUUAGGCUGACGUGUGCAACAAAUGUAAGACACGACUCCAGGGAGGCCCGGGCGGGAGGGCGGCUCCUGCCUGCGAGACCUCGUGAGUCAGUGUCAGGGAUGCCACUUUGGUUGACUUGGUUCUUUCCAGCAGCUCUGUGGCCAGUGAACAACACCAGGCCCCCCUCGGCAGCUGGCCCAGAGGCUCGAGGUCUCAGGGAAGGCAAGAGACCCCUCAAGCAGCUCCUAACACCAACCAAAGGGACUUGUGGUUUCUAAAACAGACGAAUCUGCAAAGCCCCAGCAGGCCCCUGGCUGCCUCCUCUCGGGCGGAUGCUUACUUUGCCUCGUUACCUGUGGAGUGAAGAAGAGACAGCUCAGUGCUGCCUCCCCCACAAGGCCCCUGACCAGGUGGAGCAAGACAGGCCCAGUGUGAGAGCAUGGUCAGCUGUUUGUUCGCAGGUUCUGGAAGCCGAUCAUCCUCUGCUGCUUCACCGGAGGAAGCAGGUGCAGGACCACUGCCCCUGCAUCGGGAGCUGGGCCUGGGAGUGGCCCCACACGGUGACAGUGGUCUGAUGGCCAAGUCAGCAGGGAGAGCCUCUGGUACCCCAGAUCACGCCCACUGCUGAAGGCAGUUUUAUGCCAGAGGCCUUUUAGAAACAGCUUUGGGGCCCACAAGUUCUCCCUACCAGAGGAGACACAGGGGACAUCAUUCUGAGUCUUCCCCCAAAGGCCAGGACGAUGUCUAACAGCCAGGGCAGCAUGUGGACAGCAGCCUGGAUGCAGAGGAGGAGGCAGGCCUCAAGGCCCAGCCAGCAGACAGAUGGUGUCCGUGAAGAGGAAGAGGGGGCAGAGUGAGUGAGACUGUGUGCACAGGGGAGAGGCACCCUACACAGACUGUCCAAGCUGGAGAAGAGUCUGGGGGCAGGGAGGGCUGUCCUUGUAUUCCUGCGAGACCCUCCAGCUGUGCGCACAGUAGGUGUUGAGGCUGCCACGUGUCGGGAAGCCACUCAGAGAUAAGCCAGCCCCAGGCGAUGGGGUUGGAAUCCAGACAGGCUGCCCGCCACCAGCACCGGGCACUGUCUUGCGUGAGUCGCUUGUAGCACUACGUUAUGAACGUGGCUCAGGGCCCUUCCUGCCUCUUGGACCCACCCAGCUCUCCAGCCUGGCCGAGGUGCCUGUCACCCAGAACUUUGCAUCCGGGGUGAAACCACCCAGAGGGCACAGGCAGAGCCCCUGGGGUAACGCCAUCCUGGUGACGGGCUGCAAAACCCUAGUGCUCAUAAAAUAAACACGACCCUCAACAGAAAAGGCCAAGGCCUGCACACGUACUGAAAGGCUCCACCAGGACCCGUUCCUGAAGCUCAUGUCCACGUCUGUCUGGCCAUCGCUGAUCCAAAUCAGAAGCUCGUCCCUGGCCCCCGGCGUCAGCCCUUCGCAACCUCAGAUCCGCCAGGCACAACCCGAGGGCACACGCGUGUGCUCCGCGCACUUUCCCCAAGCUGGAGGCUGUUACAAAUGCAAAAACCAUUCUCGGCUCGGAGGCCGUACAAAAACGGGGCAGCCCCUGCUCUAACUGCAGGGUACUGAGAAAGGGGACAGGCACCGGAGGAGACGGGAGAAGUGCCCGUGCUGUGCCCGCGCCGCAGGGGCUUCACUGAGACCCCCGCGGCCCUCACGGCGGGCCCUCUCCUUAGGGGCUGCCCUGGAAGGCCGGCCGGCCCCCAUCCCCGCCGUGCGGACACGCCCUCCAGGCAGUCGGGGGGUCGCCCCGACCACGGUCCCGACUUCCCUACAGACUCUCGCCCCACUGAACCGAACCCAGAUACCGCCAGCUCUCCAACCACCCACUUACUUCCGCCUUGGGAAAUAACUUCCGGGGUUACUCCGGACAUUAAGGAGCUGCCCCUUUCAGUCCUGCUGAGGCCCAGGUUAUUUGGGAUUCCCAGAAGACACCGUCUCGAGAAACCCUGAGAGGAAUUGCAGUUUAAUUGACAGGCCCCUGUCACAGAACGUAAGAGGCACUCCUGCAGCCUUCUUCACAGAGGCUCCCAAACUUGGCCAGACAUCCAGGUGUGACAUUGUGCUCACAAAACUCAGCAGAAUGAGUGGAAAGAUCAAUAUUGCUCAUCAUCUCCUUGGCGGACAUCAUCAUGUUGUGAAGACAACGGACCUGUGGCCUUGCAGAACCCUCCGGAACAGCUGUGUAAACGGAGUGUAGGAGGAAAGGAGCAUGUUCACAUCCUCAACUCUCUCCUGAAGGAAUGAACGGAAACAAACAUCCAGAGACGUCCCUCGGGGUGUUGGGUGCAGAGACAGAAGCGUGGCCCCUGUCAGGACAACGCAUAAACCCCCACACACUGCACUGUUCCCCACAGUGACCGGCCCCCCAGCACAGCGCAGUGCUCCCUGAGAUCCAAGCUCCUGCCGUGAGACUGUGCCCUGCAGCCCCCGUGCCUGAGACCCCACACAGCCUGGGAGGAAGCUGGACCAGCUGUCCGUUUGUCCUCUCUGCUCUGCAGAGCUGGCAGCAGACCGGGCCUCGGAGAGCCACAGCGCUACCCCAGAGAUGUGCCUGGACCCGGGGCUCCCAGGGCCUUUGGGGGACGGAAGGCUAGUGUGUGGGCCGGUCUUCUGGAAUAACGUCCAGAGCUGCAGGCUGACAAGAUCCAGUUCGGGCUGCCCUGCACUCCUAUGCCACCCACUGUCUACCAUUACCCACCUAGGCAGCAGACCCCAGAGCCGGCUCAGGGCCCACCCACAUGGCUGCUGGGAGCCAUCCACACUUGAGCCCUGAGCCCCUCUGCGUGCCAUGGAGACACUGGUGCCCUGGGCCGGGAUUCCAACUUGCUGCCGAGCCGGGUCCAGUUAGCCAGUGGUCACCCUGAAGUAGGACCCCUGCCAAGUGCACUGCGGACAAGGGCACUUUGAGAGCCCCGGUUCAAAUUCCACUUUCCAGGAGCCGAACCCUUUACAUCUGCUCUGGUGGCGCAAACUUCCUUCACUUACUCUCUUAAGCGACAGGACAGUUUGCUUCUUGUUGGCAUUCGUCAAAGCCAGGCUUCGGGUUUUGGGGAGAGAAAUUGGUAGGUGGAAACCAGUCCCCACAGGCCCAGGCAGGUUUAGAGCCUGGAGAGGGUCCCAAGUGGUCCAAAGCCUGGAAAAGCAACUAAGGUUGGCGGGGAGGGGGGCGGCUAACGAAUGCCUCACAACCCGAGAGCAGUUCUCCACCAUGUGAGCACAAAGCCGAGCAGACCCACAUUCCUGGCACUGCUGUGCAGGGCAGGAUCCUCUGAGUUGCCUUGGAAUUGGGACAGCAGGGAAGGGUCCAGCACGAGGUGGUGCCCACACUGGUGGACCCCGUCAGGGUUGCUCACGCCUCUGCCUGGAGUUGCCUCCUGCUUGCUCGGGACCAUGGGAGCCCAGGGCUCCGGGCGGGCGGGCAGGCAUGGAGCACCAGGCCCCUGCCCGCCCGGGGUGGGGGUGGGGGCUCGCCGGCCCAGCCAUGGCUCUGCCCUCGAGUCAAGUCUGGUCGGUUUAUGUGUAAACUGUGAUGCACCCAGACCAUAGAAGAGUGAGUUCUUAGGCCAGGAAGACGAGGACCCUCACAUGCAUGUUACUAAGUGAGGGGUGCGUCUAAAAAGCCUAUCUCCCAGACGACUCCAGCCACGUGACAUUCUGGAGAAGGCCGAGCUACAGAGACGGCAAAGGGUCAGUGGCUGCCCCGGGCUUGAGGAGAGGGGCGGAUGAGUCCGGGAGCACAGAGGGUUGUCAGGGCAGAAGGGACUCUGACACCUCGACGGACACCUGUCACUAUACAUUUGUCCAAGCCCAGAGGAUGCACAACGCCCACCAGGUGACCCUGAAGUAAACUCUGUACUUCCACUGAUGAGCAGGUGUCCGUCUGGGCUUGAAGGUUGUAACUAGUGUGUCACAUGACACACCAACGUGGGGACCGUCUACACCCUGUGCUCUUUCUGUAAAUCUAAGAGAGUAUUAAUGAAACAACAGCUAAAGUACUGGAGUGGCAAGAGUAGAUGGCAGGACCCGGCCAGAGCAGAGCCUUAAGGCGGCUGAGGCAGCCAGACAGGGGUGGAAUUUGGACUUGGAGUCUGUGCAUGGAGCAUGCCUUCACCUGCAAGAAACUGUGUAACUGAUGAAUUAGAAAAAGUGGGACAGGGGCGCCUGGGUGGCUGAGUCGUUAAGCGUCUGCCUUCGGCUCAGGUUAUGGUCCCAGGGUCCUGGG